GUGGGGAAUAUUGGACAAUGGGGGGAACCCUGAUCCAGCCAUGCCGCGUGUGUGAAGAAGGCCUUUUGGUUGUAAAGCACUUUAAGCGAGGAGGAGGCUACCGAGAUUAAUACUCUUGGAUAGUGGACGUUACUCGCAGAAUAAGCACCGGCUAACUCUGUGCCAGCAGCCGCGGUAAUACAGAGGGUGCAAGCGUUAAUCGGAUUUACUGGGCGUAAAGCGCGCGUAGGUGGCCAAUUAAGUCAAAUGUGAAAUCCCCUAGCUUAACUUGGGAAUUGCAUUCGAUACUGGUUGGCUAGAGUAUGGGAGAGGAUGGUAGAAUUCCAGGUGUAGCGGUGAAAUGCGUAGAGAUCUGGAGGAAUACCGAUGGCGAAGGCAGCCAUCUGGCCUAAUACUGACACUGAGGUGCGAAAGCAUGGGGAGCAAACAGGAUUAGAAACCCGUGUAGUCC
rnacentral:rRNA from 1 species